rnacentral:rRNA from 1 species
GGAGGAAAGCAGGGGAUCGAAAGACCUUGUGCUUUUGGAGCGGCCGAUGUCUGAUUAGCUAGUUGGUGGGGUAAAGGCCUACCAAGGCGACGAUCAGUAGUUGGUCUGAGAGGACGACCAGCCACACUGGGACUGAGACACGGCCCAGACUCUACGGGAGGCAGCAGUGGGGAAUUUUGGACAAUGGGCGCAAGCCUGAUCCAGCAAUGCCGCGUGAGUGAAGAAGGCUUCGGGUUGUAAAGCUCUUUCAGUCGAGAAGAAAAAGCUGUGGUGAAUAACUGCGGUUUAUGACGGUAUCGACAGAAGAAGCACCGGCUAACUACGUGCCAGCAGCCGCGGUAAUACGUAGGGUGCGAGCGUUAAUCGGAAUUACUGGGCGUAAAGGGUGCGCAGGCGGUUUUGUAAGUCAGAUGUGAAAUCCCCGGGCUUAACCUGGGAAUUGCGUUUGAAACUACAAGGCUAG